rnacentral:lncRNA from 10 species
CGAUUUAACUGUAUCCUCAUUAAGGGAAGAAAUGGAGAGAUGUACAUAUGUAUGAGAGAGAGAGACAGAGAGAGAGAGAGAGAGAGACAGAGAGAGAGAGAGACAGAGAGAGAGAGAGAGAGAGAGACAGAAGGGAAAUAUCUGCAGAGAGAACAGAGCUAUGAUCACUAAGUAGAACAGAGGCAGCCUAAUCGCCUAAUCAGAUACCCAGUCGGGGCCCCACCUGACUCCUACUGCAGCUGGGGGGUGGAGGGACUAGAAGGUUCAGCUGGAGUGGUCUCCCCUUCUGCAGCUCCAGUCUCCCCACCUCCAACCCCCACUGCCACUGCCCCGUGAGGAGGCUUGGAAGCUGUGGGGAGGGGAGGCAGCCGAGUUGGGCUUCUAGAACGAGGCGGGAUGGUGUGAGCUCAAACGCCCUGCAAUUGCUGGAGCAACAGCGGCGACACUUGAGUUAUUCACAAAGGCUGGAAUUCAAAUGAGGCUGGCACCGCUCCAAGUCGCAAUAGCUUAGGAGGAGAGAGAAAGGCAUAUUAACUAUUCAUCAAGGUCUUCGCGUUGCAUGGGCUCUGAGGGUUCUCCAUCUGCGUCCCUCCCUCUGUCACUGACUGGGGGUAGGGGGCGGGGGGUCCCCCAGAAGCACUUUAUCUGUCAGUCUGUGAGCGGGGGCUGGGGGUGGGGGACUGAAGUUAGGCAGAUUUGUCUCAUCACAUGAUGGGGGACCUGUAUCAUGUGAUGGCUCCGGUGAUGUUGGAGGCGGCAUGUGACUCCCAGGGCUACGUGGGUUCAAAAACAAUUUAAUACAAAAACACAAGCAGGUUCCCCUCCUCUCCUUUGCCUUUGGUCUGGCUCUCCCCAUCGCUGGGUUCAGUGCCUGACUGAAUGGAAAACCCGUCGUCUUGCAGCCACUAACCUGUGAGCGCCGGGUACCUGGAGACCAGGCCCCUCUGCUGGGGGCCCCCAGGAGCGGUGCCCCAUCAUUUUGCAGCCCACUGACUCCCAGCCUGGUGUGAAAACUGAGGCCCGGAGAGGUGAUGUGAUUUGCCUAAAGUCAUGCAACUAGUGGCAGAGCCAGGCCUAGACGCCAGGUGUCCUGGCUCUCAAGACAUUCCGCUGCCCGAGGAAUGGAACAGGUAGUAUCACUCACACUGGGGGCCAUGGGUCAGUCCAUUCAGCCCAGAGCUGCCUGAGGUUCCAACUAAGGAAACCAGAGGAAACAUCCACUCAAAAUUCUGACAAGUUGAACGGGGUUGAAAUCAGAACUGGGCAAGAGAAAGGGGGCAAGGUUUGAAACUCAGACCUCACGAUCCUGGGACAGAGGCCAAUGUACCAUCACCCCACGUCACCUUCUGAAGGUGGAUUGAGCUCUGGCCCUAUCAUGUCCAUCUCUAAACAGCUUGGUGAAGAGGGUUGCAGUGGCUCACAUCUGUAAUUCCAGCACUUUGGGAGGCCGAGGUGGGAGGAUCACUUGAGUCCAGGAGUUCAAGACCAGCGUAAGCAAACUGAAGAAAACGAAACUCUGGGGAGUGAGGUCAGGCAGCGAGCCAGUGGUGGGAAGGAAACUGUACUCCAAGGGUAUCUGAUACUGAUUGAAGGCUGUGCAUAAAAUAAUCCCAAGUUAUGAUGUCUACCUGUGUCAACUAUGUUUUCCAGCUGCAAGUCACAGAAGCCCAGUGCAUAAAAGCCCAGAAGCUCUUAUGUUUUUACUUUUUAUACAUAUAUAUAUUUUUUGUUUUGUUUUUUUGAGACAG